rnacentral:rRNA from 1 species
GAGUUUGAUCCUGGCUCAGGAUGAACGCUAGCGGCAGGCUUAAUACAUGCAAGUCGUGGGGCAGCGGGGGUAGCAAUACCCGCCGGCGACCGGCAAACGGGUGCGGAACACGUACGCAACCUUCCUUUAACUGGAGAAUAGCCCCUCGAAAGAGGGAUUAAUACUCCGUAACAUAUUGAUAAGGCAUCUUAUUAAUAUUAUAGCUCCGGCGGUUAAAGAUGGGCGUGCGCCUGAUUAGAUAGUUGGCGGGGUAACGGCCCACCAAGUCUGCGAUCAGUAACUGGUGUGAGAGCACGACCAGUCACACGGGCACUGAGACACGGGCCCGACUCCUACGGGAGGCAGCAGUAAGGAAUAUUGGUCAAUGGACGCAAGUCUGAACCAGCCAUGCCGCGUGGAGGAUUAAGGCCCUCUGGGUUGUAAACUCCUUUUAUCUGGGAAGAAAUGCAUUUUUUCUAAAGUGCUUGACGGUACCAGAGGAAUAAGCACCGGCUAACUCCGUGCCAGCAGCCGCGGUAAUACGGAGGGUGCAAGCGUUAUCCGGAUUCACUGGGUUUAAAGGGUGCGUAGGCGGGCAGGCAAGUCCGUGGUGAAAUCUCUGAGCUUAACUCAGAAACUGCCAUUGGAUACUAUUUGUCUUGAAUAUUGUGGAGG